rnacentral:rRNA from 1 species
AUGGCCGGAAUUGUCAACAAGGAGUUUCCUGAGUUAGCCCAGACAAGGCUGAACUACCUGUCAUGGUCCUCGGACUGCGAGAUCUUUCUCCAGGGAAAAACCCUCCUGAGGGCGAUCGGUAAGGGGGCCCAGCUGGCCGCCACUAAUCCCAAGUUCGAAACUGAGAAUGCACGGGCUCUGCACUUUCUCCGUCAUCACCUGUCACCUACUCUGAAAGAUGAGUAUGUGGCUGAGCACACUGCUUCUGGCCUCUGGACCGCUCUUAAGCAGCGGUUUGAGCAGCUGAAGUACACUGUGAAGCCACGUGUAGAGGCAGAGUGGAUCCGUCUGAGGUUUGCGAACUUCAAGACGAAGAUUGAGAAAACCCUAUCCACUUUCCACCCCGACGCGGUCCAGUCCUCACGGAACUACGGCCAGGACUACACGAGGUAUUCAGAGUUGAUUGACGUCCUCCAGGUGGCGGAGGCGCAGGACGAGGUUCUCAAAAAGAAUUUUGUCGCGCAACCACUUGGGGGGAGUUCUCACGAGGAGGUGAACGCUCUCAAAGUCCGCAAGCCUCAACAGAAGAAGAGGGCCAGAAGGGCAACUAAGCAGAACAAGUUGGGCAAGGGAGGGCAGAGGCCUCAGGACUGUUUCCGUUGUGGCUCGGUGGAGCAUUUCUCCCGCCAGUGCCACGCACCACCGGAGGUCGUUGAAGCAUAUAAGGCUCGGAAGGCGCGUGAUACGCACCUCGCCUUGGUUCAGGAGGGAGCACCACCGGCGCCCAUGGCGGCACCCGUGAUGAUCUCUACGCCCCCUGCUGCUCCCAUAGAGGCGACCCCCGUGGUGCCCAUCGCGGCAGCGUUGGCGGUCUCUACCGACACCCACGUCGCCAUGUAG